AAAACGGUGAGUCAGUUUGCGAUUGACGGUGAGGGGGGACGUUGUGACUGACGCGCUCUCAUUAAAAAGUCACAUUUCAUAAGUAAUUAAACAGAAACGCCUGAAACUAACGCUAAUAAUUGUGAGAUGAAGUGCUGGACUACUUAUAUAACAAGGACAGAAGUGGAUUUAAGUGAUUAAUGAAUGAAAACAAGAAAAAGCGAAAAAAAAAUCUUGGCUCAAUAAAAUAAAUAAAUAAAUAGAUAAAAUAAAUGUAUCGAAUAUUUAUAAGUGAUGGUUACAUUAAUAACACAAUCAACAACAAAGAGGAAGAGGAAGAAGAAGAGGAAGAGGAAGAGGAAGAGGAAGAAGAAGAGGACCACAAGGAUCUUAUCAAGAUCAAGAUUACCCUCCUACUCCGCGGCCAUUAGGUGACACUAACGUCUGGCGAUCUUCAAAGCUUCCUUCUUCGCAUAUCAGCCUUGGGAAACGCUUCGUCCAUGCCACCAGCCAUGAAAGACGUGCUUGCGUGUUACUCACUGCCUUGCUAUCUAAUAUUUUGGUGUUGAUGAUAAGCUCUUGGGAAAAUGACAAUCCACAGAGGACAUGUCUGUUGUCAAAAUAACAGGUGUACUUCUUACAUUGAGUGGGUGGUCAAGAGGCCCAGGAGCUUUUCUCCGGUGUAAAGGCUGCUGCAGAUCUGUAGGACGGUGGAGUUUCCUGACACAAGCUGAGGCUAAGCUAGAAGGACCUACCUUAAGGUCCUUUGAGAUACCAGGAGUUGUUUCAAGAAAGCAUGGCACCAGUGACUCUGAGAAUUCAGAAGAAGGUGGUGUCUUUGUAAGUCCAGAGCCUGAGGAUACUCAGUCUCAAUGGCGAAUGAGGUUAAGAGAGACGGGCGAGUGAGCAGAGCCCCUCUCAAGAGCUACGUCCACGCAGAAGGAAGGGAAGUGAAAGAUGGAGAAAGGACACCACCACCACAGUAGCCAGAUGGAUGCCAGUGAGGAACCCUUUGUCAUUCAUACUCCUCUUAUUAACAAACAAAAGUUGCCAAUGGGAUGUACCAGAACACAGUGUAUGGGAUGGCUGCCCGUCUCCCAUUCAGCUACACGGGGGCGGUGGUGCUGGGCUCGCACUUAUUCCAUUACCACGACGCGAUGCACAACAGGUGAAAAAAAUCCUCAAAGAACGACAGAAGGAAGCCGAGGACUCCUUAGUGGCACACCUUCAAGUCUGCCUUCCCUCAGCUGUUCAACAUAUUCAUGGCCUUUGUGACUUUGGCAAUCUUCCCUGCAGGCCUGGCGGGUCAAGGUAUGGGAAGCAUCACCCCUUCACCCCAGACACCCUCCCCACACCCCAGGCCCCACACACCCCUGGGGAGAGGCAGGAACACACCCCAAACAGCUGUCAUGUCUCAAAAUCAAAUCAAAGGGAAUUUUUGAAGACUUGGGGUUCAGACAGUGGUACCCCUGCUUCUCCCCCAACCCCACACCCCGGACGCCCCUCCAUGCCACCCCGUGGACACCCUGGGGGAGGCUGUCGCACCCCAUGCACCCCACACACCCCAUGAAUGCCGACAGUGCGUGCCCAGAGUUGCAUCACAGCUUGAGAUUAAGUCAAAACGCAAGCCUGGACCCAGUUGACUUCACACAGUCUUCUCAGCCCUCCCACAGCCUUUGUCAGCCUCCCACAGUGCAUCACAGCCUCCUACAGCAUUGGAUGCCAGAACACAGCCCCCCACAGAACACCAAUCCUUCCCACAGUGGCCAGAAACAGCACACAGCAAAAUGGUUAACCAGAAUGAACAGACACACGAACUGACACACAUAGACACAGCGCCAAACGCCAUAGAGCCAACGCACAGCAUCCCACAGCAGCCAGGGGGACAGCACAGCAUCACGGACUCCCCAGACACCCUCAGAACACCACAGCACACAGCACAGGAUGAAAUAUUAAGCUUAGCCUUUGCAUCACCUGUCAUAAACAGCACUGGGGGAGAUGACAGCACACAGUGGCACACAGCAGGGACCCAGGGACUAGUGAGGACUGAACAGCAAGCCACAGCAUCACCACACCCUGUGGAUGCUGUGAGGGAAGCAGGACGACCACACACAAGGCACAAGAUUGAGAAACGGACAGAAAGAGGAACCAUCAAUUCGAAGGAUCAUUUUAAAACAAGACUCAUAACUUCUGCUGCUACUUCUGCUGUUACUACUGCUACUAUUACUGCGGCUACUGCUAUAGGGGGUGCAUCUGUGUCCUCCAGCAAUAUUUACCAGUGUAUCGAGACUUAGACAAGACUUCACCAUUAAACAAGAUGAAAAUCUCGGAACAGGGAAGGAGAAAAAUAACUCGGAGAACAAGAAGGACAAGAGGAAGGCGCGACACUGACACACAAACGCACACACACACACAAAACGGAAGCCACUACAGGCUUUAGACCUUUCAUGUGACUCUGGCAACAGUGAUCCCAGUGUUACCAAACCCCUGUGUGACUCUAGGAGCGCGGACAGCUGGAAACAAGGGCUGGGGAGGCCGGGAGUGAGGUCAGGGGUCACAGGAGAGGGAAACAGUGCUCUUCCUCUUCCUCCUCACUGCAGUUCAGGUCACCACAGCCUUGCCGCAGCCAGCCACACCCACCACGGGCCUCCACACACCCUCACGCAGCAGUGCCAAGGCUGGACACAGCACUGCACAGCCCAGAACAGUCUAUGCCUAAUUCUCUAGUCAUUUAUAUUCAGAAUUUAACCCCCCUUGUGAGGACAGCGACUACCACCACCACCACCACCAGCACAGCCAAGUAGAUGCAGACACAAGAAGGAUAAGAUCACAUGACCUCUCCCACACCCUUGACCUGACCAUGUAACUGGCCAGGACCAUACUGAGGCGAUCUGAGAGUCUCCUAACUUCUCUGCCCCAACCCAGCAGCAGAAAUAGCCCAAGAAGUAGCCCAAAUGUAGCCUGCCAUAAGAGAUAGCCCAGUAGCUAAAAAAAAUAGCCCAAAGAUUAGGUUGCCCAAAAAAUAGCCCAAAGAAUGUGGUUUUUUAUGUUUUAUUUAUUUAGUUUAUUUAUUUUAAUUGUAAAGGAAGUUAGGAAUUUUUUUUUUUUUUGUCAGUUCUCUAAGUCAAGAAAGGUGUGUGUCAGUCAGUCAGUCAGUCAGACAGACAGACAGACAGACAGACAGACAGACAGACAGACAGACAGACAGACAGACUUAUGCCAUUGAGAAAAUGACAUUAAGCUCUAGGCUAUUAAAAGUAGAUUUGAUAUUUGAGAGAGAGAGAGAGAGAGAGAGAGAGAGAGAGAGAGAGAGAGAGAGAGAGAGAGAGAGAGAGAGAGAGAGAGAGAGAGAGAGAGAGAGAGAGAGAGAGAGAGAGAGAGAGAGAGAGAGAGAUAAUAAUAAUUGUAGUAUGUGUGUGUGAGAAACAUGACUGCCUGCCCAGAUCCCCCUUUGAGGCAGCUGAUUGGUUGACAACUUGGUGCUUGUAUCUGAUUGGUCACCAUGACUUAGAUGUGACACGUGAUUGGUUGGAAUUACUACUGUUACUGUUAUUUUUAAGUUCUGACUAGGUGUAAUGGGAAAUGUUGUGUUUCUGAUAAGUUUUUGGUCAUUUUCAAGUUUGGCUGAGUUCUGACUAAGUUCUGAAUUAAAAUAUUGUGUUUUUGUGAAGAUUUUUGGUCUAGGAAAGUUUGGCUAAUUUUUUUUUAAGAUUGAGUCAAAAUGUUGUGUUUCUGAUAAGUUUUUUGGUCAUUUUCAAGUUUGGCUGAGUUCUGACUAAGUUCUGAAUUUAAAUGCAUUUUUGUGAAGAUUUUUAGUCUAGGAAAGUUUGGCUAAUUUUUUUUUUUGAAGUUCUGAGUGAAAAUGUUGUGUUUCUGAUAAGUUUUUAAGGUCAUUUUCAAGUCUGGCCAAGUUCUGACUAAGUUCUGAAUUAAAAUAUUGUGUUUUUGUGAAGAUUUUUUGGUCUAGGAAAGUUUGGCUAAUUUUUUUUAAGUUCUGAGUCAAAAUGUUGUGUUUCUGAUAAGUUUUUUAUGUUAUUUUCAAGUUUGGCCAAGUUCUGACUAAGUUCUGAAUUUAAAUAUUGUGUUUUUGUGAAGAUUUUUGGUCUAGGAAAGUUUGGCUAAUUUUUUUUAAGUUCUGAGUCAAAAGGUUGUGUUUCUGAUAAUUUUUUUAUGUCAUUUUCAAGUUUGGCCAAGUUCUGACUAAGUUCUGAAUUUAAAUAUUGUGUUUUUGUGAAGAUUUUUUAUUAAGGAAAGUUUGGCUAAUUUUUUUUUAAGAUCUGAGUCAAAAUGUUGUGUUUCUGAUAAGUUUUUAAGGUCAUUUUCAAGUUUGGCCAAGUUCUGACUAAGUUCUGAAUUUAAAUAUUGUGUUUUUGUGAAGAUUUUUUAUUAAGGAAAGUUUGGCUAAUUUUUUUUUAAGAUUGAGUCAAAAUGUUGUGUUUCUGAUAAGUUUUUUAUGUUAUUUUCAAGUUUGGCCAAGUUCUGACUAAGUUCUGAAUUAAAAUAUUGUGUUUUUGUGAAGAUUUUUUAUUAAGGAAAGUUUGACUAAUUUUUUUUAAGUUCUGAGUCAAAAUGUUGUGUUUCUGAUAAGUUUUUAAUGUUAUUUUCAAGUUUGGCCAAGUUCUGACUAAGUUCUGAAUUAAAAUAUUGUGUUUUUGUGAAGAUUUUUUAUUAAGGAAAGUUUGACUAAUUUUUUUUAAGUUCUGAGUCAAAAUGUUGUGUUUCUGAUAAGUUUUUUGUUAUUUUCAAGUUUGGCCAAGUUCUGACUAAGUUCUGAAUUUAAAUAUUGUGUUUUUGUGAAGAUUUUUUAUUAAGGAAAGUUGCUAAUUUUUUUUUAAGAUUGAAUCAAAAUGUUGUGUUUCUGAUAAGUUUUUUAUGUUAUUUUCAAGUUUGGCCAAGUUCUGACUAAGUUCUGAAUUUAAAUAUUGUGUUUUUGUGAAGAUUUUUUAUUAAGGAAAGUUUGGCUAAUUUUUUUUUAAGUUCUGAGUCAAAAUGUUGUGUUUCUGAUAAGUUUUUUAUGUUAUUUUCAAGUUUGGCCAAGUUCUAAGUUAUAAUUGAAAGUAUUGUGUUUUUGACAAGAUUAUAAGUGUGAAAGUUUGUGUUAAGUUCAUUGCAGUGAAAGUUGAUGUGUAUACUUAAGUUAUUCACUUAUAGAAACUUAUAAGGGCAUAAAGGUUACAUUGAAAAAAUUAGAGGAAUAAAUGUUUACUUAUUUUGUAUUGUGAGAGAGAGAGAGAGAGAGAGGUCAGGUGCCUUCUAAUGAUAAUGAUGAUGAUGAUAAUAAUAAUAAUAAUAAUAAUAAUAAUAAUAAUAAUAAUAAUAAUAACUAGUAUUCAUACCAAAAUAUCCAUCCAUAGAAAAUAUUCAUGUUUUUACUAUUAUUAUUAUUAUUAUUAUUAUUAUUAUUAUUAUUAUUAUUAUUAUUAUUAUUAUUAUUAUUAUUAUUAUUAUUAUUGCUGCUGCUGCUGCUACUACUACUACUACUACUACUACUACUACUACUACUACUACUACUACUACUACUACUACUACUACUACUACUACUACUACUACUACUACUACUACUACUACUACUACUACUACUACUACUACCAAACACCACCAAUACACUCCCACCACUACCACCACUACUACUACUACUACUACUACUACUACUACUACUACUACUACUACUACUACUACUACUACUACUACUACUACUACUACUACUACCACCACCACCACCAAACACCACCAAUACACUCCCACCACUACCACCACUACCACCACUACUACUACUACUACUACUACUACUACUACUACUACUACUACUACUACUACUACUACUACUACUACUACUACUACUACUACUACUACCACCACCACCAAACACCACCAAUACACUCCCACCACUACCACCACUACUACUACUACUACUACUACUACUACUACUAUUUUUUCCAUGCAAUUAGGCAUAUUAGGAUCAUCAUCAUCAGUAGUAGCAGUAGUAGGCCUAGUCAUUACACACAAUAAUUCAUAAUAAACUUGUAUAUAUAUUU